rnacentral:rRNA from 1 species
UUUUAUGGAGAGUUUGAUCCUGGCUCAGGAUGAACGCUGGCGGCGUGCCUAAUACAUGCAAGUCGAGCGAACGGAUGAGAAGCUUGCUUCUCUGAUGUUAGCGGCGGACGGGUGAGUAACACGUGGAUAACCUACCUAUAAGACUGGGAUAACUUCGGGAAACCGGAGCUAAUACCGGAUAAUAUUUUGAACCGCAUGGUUCAAAAGUGAAAGACGGUCUUGCUGUCACUUAUAGAUGGAUCCGCGCUGCAUUAGCUAGUUGGUAAGGUAACGGCUUACCAAGGCAACGAUGCAUAGCCGACCUGAGAGGGUGAUCGGCCACACUGGAACUGAGACACGGUCCAGACUCCUACGGGAGGCAGCAGUAGGGAAUCUUCCGCAAUGGGCGAAAGCCUGACGGAGCAACGCCGCGUGAGUGAUGAAGGUCUUCGGAUCGUAAAACUCUGUUAUUAGGGAAGAACAUAUGUGUAAGUAACUGUGCACAUCUUGACGGUACCUAAUCAGAAAGCCACGGCUAACU